CUAUCUACAGGCUUAACACAUGCAAGUCGAGGGGCAGCAUGGUCUUAGCUUGCUAAGGCCGAUGGCGACCGGCGCACGGGUGAGUAACACGUAUCCAACCUGCCGUCUACUCUUGGACAGCCUUCUGAAAGGAAGAUUAAUACAAGAUGGCAUCAUGAGUCCGCAUGUUCGCAUGAUUAAAGGUAUUCCGGUAGACGAUGGGGAUGCGUUCCAUUAGAUAGUAGGCGGGGUAACGGCCCACCUAGUCUUCGAUGGAUAGGGGUUCUGAGAGGAAGGUCCCCCACAUUGGAACUGAGACACGGUCCAAACUCCUACGGGAGGCAGCAGUGAGGAAUAUUGGUCAAUGGGCGAGAGCCUGAACCAGCCAAGUAGCGUGAAGGAUGACUGCCCUAUGGGUUGUAAACUUCUUUUAUAAAGGAAUAAAGUCGGGUAUGGAUACCCGUUUGCAUGUACUUUAUGAAUAAGGAUCGGCUAACUCCGUGCCAGCAGCCGCGGUAAUACGGAGGAUCCGAGCGUUAUCCGGAUUUAUUGGGUUUAAAGGGAGCGUAGAUGGAUGUUUAAGUCAGUUGUGAAAGUUUGCGGCUCAACCGUAAAAUUGCAGUUGAUACUGGAUAUCUUGAGUGCAGUUGAGGCAGGCGGAAUUCGUGGUGUAGCGGUGAAAUGCUUAGAUAUCACGAAGAACUCCGAUUGCGAAGGCAGCCUGCUAAGCUGCAACUGACAUUGAGGCUCGAAAGUGUGGGUAUCAAACAGGAUUAGAUACCCUGGUAGUCCACACGGUAAACGAUGAAUACUCGCUGUUUGCGAUAUACUGCAAGCGGCCAAGCGAAAGCGUUAAGUAUUCCACCUGGGGAGUACGCCGGCAACGGUGAAACUCAAAGGAAUUGACGGGGGCCCGCACAAGCGGAGGAACAUGUGGUUUAAUUCGAUGAUACGCGAGGAACCUUACCCGGGCUUAAAUUGCAGAUGAAUUACGGUGAAAGCCGUAAGCCGCAAGGCAUCUGUGAAGGUGCUGCAUGGUUGUCGUCAGCUCGUGCCGUGAGGUGUCGGCUUAAGUGCCAUAACGAGCGCAACCCUUGUUGUCAGUUACUAACAGGUUCCGCUGAGGACUCUGACAAGACUGCCAUCGUAAGAUGUGAGGAAGGUGGGGAUGACGUCAAAUCAGCACGGCCCUUACGUCCGGGGCUACACACGUGUUACAAUGGGGGGUACAGAGGGCCGCUACCACGCGAGUGGAUGCCAAUCCCCAAAACCUCUCUCAGUUCGGACUGGAGUCUGCAACCCGACUCCACGAAGCUGGAUUCGCUAGUAAUCGCGCAUCAGCCACGGCGCGGUGAAUACGUUCCCGGGCCUUGUACACACCGCCCGUCAAGCCAUGGGAGCCGGGGGUACCUGAAGUGCGUAACCGCGAGGAGCGCCCUAGGGUAAAACUGGUGACUGGGGCUAA
rnacentral:rRNA from 1 species